UCCGGUGGCGAUGGCAGAGAGGCCACACCUGUUCCCAUUCCGAACACAGAAGUUAAGCUCUCUAGCGCCGAUGGUAGUUGGGGUUUUUCCCCUGCAAGAGUAGGACGCCGCCGGGC
rnacentral:rRNA from 1 species